rnacentral:rRNA from 1 species
CCUACGGGAGGCAGCAGUAGGGAAUUUUCGUCAAUGGGCGCAAGCCUGAACGAGCGAUGCCGCGUGAGUGAAGAAGGCCUUCGGGUCGUAAAGCUCUGUUGCGGGGGAAAAAAGGCAGCAUCAGGAAAUGGGUGCUGACUGAUGGUGCCCCGCCAGAAAGUCACGGCUAACUACGUGCCAGCAGCCGCGGUAAUACGUAGGUGGCGAGCGGUAUCCGGAAGGAUUGGGCGUAAAGGGUGCGCAGGCGGUCCUGCAAGUCUGGAGUGAAACGCAUGAGCUCAACUCAUGCAUGGCUUUGGAAACUGGAGGACUGGAGAGCAGGAGAGGGCGGUGGAACUCCAUGGGUAGCGGUAAAAUGCGUAGAUAUAUGGAAGAACACCAGUGGCGAAGGCGGCCGCCUGGCCUGUUGCUGACGCUGAGGCACGAAAGCGUGGGGAGCAAAUAGGAUUAGAUACCCGAGUAGUC